AUCAAGAAGUAAAGAAACAAAUGUUUACUCUUAAAAACCCAAACAGGAGAGCACAUUAAAGAGUGACUGAACUGAUUUAGAGGAUUACUAGGACCAAAAUUGACCAUUUUCAUCUCCGCAGCUAUUGGGGAAAUCCUAAGGAAGUUGUUGAAUAAGCACAUUACAAAACCCACUGGACUUCCAAAUCAAUGUAAUUUUAAUCCCUCUGCACUUGAAGAGGCAUAGAUAGUUCCUCCUUCCGGACAGUAAGGCUGAGAUACGGCUCAGAGAGUGAGUAUUUGGGAGUAGAGCUGUCAGCAGCAUAGUUCCUGGGAAUAUUUAAGGUAAAGCUCCAACAUGUAUUGGCUGGUAGUGAGCGAGCUCUAUGGUAGAUAAGGGGAAACAUGAGUAAUGAGUUUAAUUUCAGUCAGAAUCGUGUAUCUGUUUCUCAAUUUAAAAAAUCAUGGAAUUUUAAUAAGGCCUAAGAUGAUAUGAAUUUUUGUUACACAUAAUAAUAGCCCCAGUUUCCAUAAGCAAAUAAACACUAUGCGAGAGUCCACUACACACUUUAUGACAUCUUCUUUUCCUUCUUUCUUUUGUUUUGUUUUGUUUUGUUUAAUGACUACAUGCACAGCAUAAAGAGAGGUAAUGGCUGGCACAUCCUAGCCAUGCAUUGCAUGGCUGGGAAACAACAGGAACAACAAGCUUUUGACCUGGCCCAGUCGAUUUAUUCAGCAGUAGGAAAAUUUGACUUGAUCAAUACCCAUAACAUACAGGUUGCAGCCCCUUACCCACAAUGUCAGCCAUGCCUGAUAUUUACAGGAAAAAAAAUCACAAUGCACAUAACACUACCCAUUUCCUAGGAAGUUGUCGCCUCGUCCCCCUUCCCCGUCUCCUGAUGGGUAAAUUAGUGCAAAUAUGAAAAGCCACUUAUCCAAGGUCAUAUCACCAAAGUUAAGUGACAGAGAGAUGUUGACUAGUCCCUGACCUCCACCAACUGCCACCUAUUUCAGGUAACCCCAGGAGUGGCUGGCCCCUUAAAUGGGCUCCUGAACUGACAUGGCCUUAAAGUUAUAGACUAUAUCUAAUGCUUCUCAAAGAGACUCCCUGAUAUAGUCAGGUUGUGUACUACAGGGUAGUUUCCCCUCUCAGGCAGAGUCACAGGGACACCACCUUCAUUGGCAACCAUUCUUUGGGUGGCUUCAGGCUAGUCACCCAGCCCCUCCAAACUUCUACUUCUGUUGUCUGGGAAAAGAGGGUAAACUAUACCGACUUGACUUAUGCAAAGAUUGAAAUAACAAUCUGAAUUAACCCUGAACACGGUGCCUAGCACUGUCCGGAUUAAUGGUUCUUUUAUCUCAUUGUUAAGUAUUACAGAGAAGGCACAUUUCCCAGGUUAUUUGUAUGACUAUGUAACAAGCUGAAGACUUUUCUUGCCAGAACAGAUUGGUGAUUAAGUGAUUGGAGGUAGCUCAGGGAUCCCCAAAUCAAAGAUUGUGUUCCCUCCAUGUUGGCACUGAAGCUUCUGGCAGGAAUCUGGUGCUUCCCGUGCCAGGGUCUGCACACAGGACACAGAAAACACAGGCGAGCAGCACCCACCUGGCAGCAGAGUGGUUUCCAUGCCCACCCGCAGGGGCACCAGCGCCCCCUCUCUCCCUCGCUGACCUGACUUACAAAAAGAAGGCGGCUGGGACUGGGGACAGCUGGCCUCCGCCCCCAGCCCUCCUCUGCACCUAAGGGCUGCAGACUCAGCAGGCGGGCUCUGGCAUGCACCCUCCCAUCUCUUUCCAGUCUACCCUAGACUGGAAACUGAGCCCCGGGAGGCAGCAAAAGACACCGGGAGAGGGGUUGGAGGAGGCCGAAACAAGAGCAGGGGAUCACGGUUAAGGUUGCGGCGCCACAAAAGACAGCACGCAGACUGCGGACCUGCCGCACGGAGAAACCCUGUGGAUGGCAGGAGGCCAGGAAAGAGGGACCUGGAGGGAGGGGCGGCAGCACCCAUGAACCGAGGAGCCGGAACUUGGACGUGCAACUGGUCCCCCGGAACGUUGGGCUUCACCAUCAGAGGGUACCACCAAGGACUUUGAGGUAGGGGGUGCGACGAAAGGACACAAAGGCUAAACACAGCUAUGCAGAAAACGGAAGGAAACCUUUCUGAGAACCAACCAGGAAGCUUAAGAACAAUCGAAACCCGGAGCGACUUUGUAAUGAGAAAGCUGAAGAGGCAAAGAAAGAAAAAAAAAUCCAGAUUGGAGAGUGAGGGAAGGGAAGAGUUAGAAGCCGAGCAAAGCAAACUGCGCCAGGAACUAAAAGGAAAAAUAAAUCAAUAAAGGAAAUUUUCAAAAAACCAUGCCAAAGCGAACUUGUUCCUGAAACUGCCAACAGAGGGAGGAAAAAAGGGUGGGGGCACGGAACAUACUGGAGAAACCAAAAGUAAAGAAAGGAAGGGAGAGAAGACAGGAUGCAAAUUAAACCAGACACGACAUAGUUAUCUAUUCCAAGGCAGUCUUCUCAUCAUAGAUGCGUCAUGACUACUAACAAGUGUCUGGGCUCUGUGCUUCUUCAUCCAUAAUAUGAGUUUUGAGCAAGACCAACUACGGCAGAUAUUCUCAGGAAACAACCAAGAAGUGAAAGUAAGGAUGCUUACAGGGGAUCGCUCCUUCACUCAUGUUGGGAUUGUAAACUGAUACAACCACUAUGAAAUCAGUGCAGAGAAUCCUCAAAAAGCUAAAAACAGAUCUACCAUACGACCCAGCUAUACCACUCUUUGGCGUCUGCUCAAAGAACUCGACAUCUUACUGCAAAGAGAUUGUGAAAUGUCUGCUGGAGGAACACAAGACGCCUGACUGACAGCCACGGAACAGAAAUGAUGGAGCCAUAGAUGAUGUCCUUUGAUGGGCAUAGAAUGACUUCACUGAAAAUGAAAAAAACAUCUAAUGAGGUAAUAGUUUUGUGAGAGGUAACAGAAAGAACCAAAUUUCAAAGCGAUAAGCAGCCAAUGGCAAUGUAUUGUCCAAGGAACAAAGGGUUGUGUGGCCAAAGCACACAAAAAAGUAGGUCAGACCAGAAGCAGAAAGAUCUGGGUCACAUAAAGGCUAAUUGACAAUGAUUGAAAGUUUUGAUUUAAACUUGAUAAACAUAUAAUACAAAGUUUAGAAGAGAGUUUCUGACUGGCUGUGGACUGAGAAAUUCUUUUUUUGUUAAACUUUGAGUAUGCACAGGCCUGGGAUUUUACAGUCUGAGGAGAGAGAUGUCUGUACUCCAGGUGUGGACAAGGGACCAUAGAUGAUAUGUCCUGGCUUACAUUGAGCAAAGACUGAAUAGAACAGAUUUUCAGAAUUGUCAGAAGUGUAAAGUCUAUUGCGAAAGUUGGAAAAACAACUCAGAGUAGCCUGCAAGGACAGUAUGUUCUAGGUGACACAUGGGCAGCAGCUGGGAGCCAUGAUACCCACUGUGUGUGUAUGUGUGGACUCUGGCUCAGCCCCAAUCAGGUCUCUUUGAGAAGAAAGGGCCCAAAGCCAAGGGCAGGCCAGGUUACCCAACAGGAGUCAGGCAGACAACCCAAGACUUGGCAAUGAUAGCACAAAGAUGACACCAGGUUGACUUUGCAAUGUUCUUGCCAGACGUUGACAAAAGUCAAUUCUUUCUGUUCAACACAGGCACGAUUGAAGACAGCAGACAGCUCUUGCUAUAUCACUGCAUGCGUAACGUACUGUCCAGUGUACUUUCUGCACUCAGUCUCCACAUGGGAGCCGAGUUCUCCUUUCAGCAUCCAGUUUUUAAAGGUGCUACAACCUGGAGCCUUCAACUGUUUGCUGAGAGAAUAUGAAACCUAAGCAGUUCGCAGUUCCAAGCACUCAGUUCUAACUGAGCACUGCAAAUGGCUCAGACGAGGCUAUUACGAAGAUGAAGUUCAGGCAGACCUACCUGAUCACAACCUUUUGAACAGAACAGCAACUAGAACCAGCAGUUUUUCUAAGCUCUAUAAAUUAAUUAUUUAGUUUUAUCCUCAUAAAGACACAAGAAGGGUCGUAUUCGUUUUCACAUUUCACGAGUAACAAAUCUGAAGCUUAGGGAUCAUAAGUAUGUUGUCCAAAGUCACCCAGCAGGUGAGUUAAAGGGGUGGAAUUUUAAUCUAGGCAGGCAAAGGCACAGUCCUUCAGUCUGGGAUUGAAUCUUUAAGUCAAGACCUCUUCCGACAAGGAAUAAUAUUAAGAACACAUAUAAUUUUACUGUGCAAAACUAAGGUGUAUAAUUUAAAAUAAUCCAAUGUUACUCAAAGGAAUUUCACCAAGACAUGUGGAAACAUUUUAAGUAAGUAAUUUUUUUUGAAAGCUUCCAUCACUGUCUGAUAAAACAACAGAUGUAAGGAGAAAAUAGCCACUCCAUUCAUUUAUUUUAUUUUUUAUUUAUUUGCAAAUUAAUAAGUGGAAAAGGGAGUUGGUUUGUCAAAUUGUUAUUCUUUUCUUCACUAGUGAGUACUGGUAUUUCCACAAUAACAGGUUAAGGCUCACCUCACCCCCAUCUCUACCCUCACCUGCGAAAUAUAGUAGGAAACAUCAACACGGUCUAGAGCUGUAAACAUCAGCAACAACAUUCUUGAAUCUGUGUAUCAGAGUGCAAGUGGCUAAUGUAGGGGUAACAGAUUGCUGCAGUUCUGUGUGACAGCGUACUUCCUAUAGCACUAGGUUUAUGUAAGAGAUGGACAAGCAACUGUAAUACAAACCAUUUGAGAUGGAGGAUCUUCAUUACACAAAAGAGAGCAGUCCUGGCCCUGGCCAUCAGGCAGGGUGGAAUGCAGAUCAAAGAGAAAAUACAUGAAUAAACCAUUUAUGGACUGUAUAAUGUUCUGACAAAGGAGACAUACACAGAUGUAGAUCCUAUAGCUAAGGGUACUAAAUCAGAGAUGAGAUACCUCACUUGUACCCUCAGGUUUCUUGAACAGUGGCAGUGUAUGCUGAUGCAGAGACAAGAUAAGUAUAUGAAAUGUAUUUCUGCUUUCUGGAAAAUUCUCCACAUAUAUAACCAUGUACAAUGGCUUUAGAUACAUUUCAGAACUCUUCAUAUCAAACGAUAAUUGCUGUAACAAUAUUCUGUCCUUUUUAGCUCCCAGUCUAAAUGCUCCCGGUCUUGUAGGCUUAGCACUUGGCUUCUUUAGUCUCAAUUCUCCAAUCCCAAUUUCAGUUCAUUCAAGCUGGUUCUACAUCAGACAAUAGCCUUGAUCCUCAGUUCAGCUCAGUUCAUGACUAUUCAUUCUGGGCAAAGGGACACUAGAUGCCCAGGAGUGUAUCCCAUACUGAAGGAGAAAACCAAGCAAGCAAAGUUAAAAUUUCAGUAUCUUCUAUCUAAUAAACAGCUAAAUCAGGAUUCCAGUGAUAUUUCAUGUACCGCAGGUUUGUGGUGUGUUCCAUAGACAUUUAUAUCUUUCAACAAGCCCUCAAAAUGAAGCUGAUCUCAAUGUGUUGAAUGUACCUGAUUUUCCAUAUUAUAACAUUUCCAAUAUGGUGACUUUCUAAUUUAGACUCUCUCCACAUAAUGUCUGGUUGUGACUAUCUGCGUCUGUUCAUAUCUGCUGUCAGAGGAAGUUUUUCUGAAGAAAACUGGAUAAAGUACUGAUCUAUUAGUAUAUCAUAAUAUUCUUUGUCAUUUUUUUUAAACCAGUAGUAUUUUGUUUUGCUCAAAGUCUCUGUGCUAUCAAGACUCUGGUUCUUGGUUACCUAAGCAGUGUUAGUAUAGGUUUCUUUUCAUGAAGUGGGACUUAAAUCAAAUUAGACACUGGUUAGUUCCGUCCACUAGUUCUUUGCCACCAUUGCCCUAGCAUAUUAUGCAUAUUGUAAGUAAAAAGUUCUGUUGCAGGGUUGGUGUUUAUGUUUCUCUUUCAAUAUUCUGCAGAAUACUGUCCCACACCAAAGAAUUUAGAACAUAGGGGUGAGGGCUCUGUGUAGGCACCAGCUUGAUUUCACUAUG
rnacentral:sRNA from 1 species